rnacentral:rRNA from 1 species
GCAUGCCUACAACAUAACAUUAAUGGAUCAGAUCCCAUUAGAACUUCACAAUUAAUCACGCUCGAGCUAGAGUAGUAUUGGGAUGGGUGACUGCCUGGAAAGUCCUAUUGUUUUACAUGCC